CCUACGGGAGGCAGCAGUGGGGAAUAUUGCACAAUGGGGGAAACCCUGAUGCAGCGACGCCGCGUGAAGGAAGAAGUAUUUCGGUAUGUAAACUUCUAUCAGCAGGGGAGAAAAUGACGGUACCUGACUAAGAAGCCCCGGCUAACUACGUGCCAGCAGCCGCGGUAAUACGUAGGGGGCAAGCGUUAUCCGGAUUUACUGGGUGUAAAGGGAGCGUAGGCGGCGAUGCAAGUCAGAAGUGAAAGCCCGGGGCUCAACCCCGGGACUGCUGUUGAAACUGUAUGGCUAGAGUGCAGGAGAGGCAAGUGGAAUUCCUGGUGUAGCGGUGAAAUGCGUAGAUAUCAGGAGGAACACCAGUGGCGAAGGCAGCUUACUGGACUGUAAAUGACGCUGAGGCUCGAAAGCGUGGGGAGCAAACAGGAUUAGAUACCCGAGUAGUC
rnacentral:rRNA from 1 species